rnacentral:tRNA from 1 species
GCCAUUUUAGCUCAGUUGGUAGAGCAACUCACUUGUAAUGAGUAGGUCGUCAGUUCGAGCCUGACAAAUGGCUCCA